AGGAGGGAAAGAAUUUUGGGCCUCAGGAUUCCCUUGGACCCUGUUGAAUCGUAUCGGGUAGAUGAACCGUUACUCUGCCUGUCAUGAAGCAGCACCAAGAGCAGCAAAACGAGAAACUGACAGCAGAGCCAGAAAUUACAACGAGCAGGAGGUGUUUUACUUAGCUCUCCCUAAGGGAAACAGCAAUGUCCAUAACAUUAAAAAAAAAUGUUGGGAAGGCUACUCUACGCCCUCAUAAGUCCAGAUUUAUUAAGUGCACAAAAGUGGUGCUGCCAAAAGGAAAUAACUGGAGAAUUUUCUGGAGCCAAGGCGGGCAGAAAAUACAGUGAUGAGAAGUUGGAAAGCAGCAUUAUCAUUUUCCAGACUGGAUUUCACUUUGUUCCACUUCAACCAGUGACCCACCAUGGUCCAACACAAAAUUUAAAACAAGACCAUAGCAAGCCUCUCUUCCAAAUGAGAAGAUGGAAAAUAACAAACACAAUAGAGGUAAAUUGCUCCCAAUGUUGGUAAAUGAUAUAGCAUGUGGAAGAGGAACAAAAGCAGCCCUUCACUGAUGUCACCCUCCUUCCUUUGAGGAAUGAUGGGAAGCAUGCAUUCAAGUUGCAAGGUGUAGCUACCAGGUAUCUUGUCCCCACGCCUGAAAGCAGAUAUGAGUCACCUGAGGCCAAUACCUUCUGUCAACUACAAUUCUGAACUUGACUAAAGUAUGGCAAGGUGCUGUUUACCUAGAACAUGUGAUGUGUUUAAUGUGUUUAUUUUACUACCUAAAACUUAAACAUCUUAAUGUGUUCAUUAAGAGGUCAAUUGAUUGAAAAGAAC
rnacentral:lncRNA from 1 species